rnacentral:rRNA from 1 species
AUGGGAGGGAGCAGCAAGAAACGUGGUGGGCAGCGCGGCGAGGGCGACGCGGAGAACCCGGCGGCGGAGGGGGGCAGCGCGCUGCCGAUGGCCAACGUCGUGCGCCUGAUGAGGCGGGUGCUGCCGUCGAACGUCAAGAUCGCCGAGACUGCGAAGCAGCUCACCCACGACUGCGCGGUCGAGUUCGUCGGCUUCGUCGGCGGCGAGGCGUCCGAGCGGGCCAGGUCGGAGCACCGCCGCACCGUCGCGCCGGAGGACUUCACCUGGUCCUGCCAGAACCUCGGGUUCGACAGCUACGUCCAGCCCAUGGAGACCUACCUCCGCGGCUACCGCGAGUACGACAUCGCCCGUGGCAGGAGCAGCCGCGGGGCGCGCCCUCCUGCGCCGCCGGCGAUGGCAUCGUUCCUACCGCCUGGACAGCCAGUGACGGUCACCGAAGAGGAGCUGGAGUUCCUGCGGUCGGUGGUCCCUCCGCCGCCGGAAGGAUAUUAG